AGUGAACGCUGGCGGUAGGCCUAACACAUGCAAGUCGAACGGCAGCACAGGAGAGCUUGCUCUCUGGGUGGCGAGCGGCGGACGGGUGAGGAAUACAUCGGAAUCUACUCUGUCGUGGGGGAUAACGUAGGGAAACUUACGCUGAUACCGCAUACGACCUACGGGUGAAAGCAGGGGAUCUUCGGACCUUGCGCGAUUGAAUGAGCCGAUGUCGGAUUAGCUAGUUGGCGGGGUAAAGGCCCACCAAGGCGACGAUCCGUAGCUGGUCUGAGAGGAUGAUCAGCCACACUGGAACUGAGACACGGUCCAGACUCCUACGGGAGGCAGCAGUGGGGAAUAUUGGACAAUGGGCGCAAGCCUGAUCCAGCCAUACCGCGUGGGUGAAGAAGGCCUUCGGGUUGUAAAGCCCUUUUGUUGGGAAAGAAAUCCAGCUGGCUAAUACCCGGUUGGGAUGACGGUACCCAAAGAAUAAGCACCGGCUAACUUAGUGCCAGCCGCCGCGGUAA
rnacentral:rRNA from 1 species